rnacentral:rRNA from 1 species
UACGUAGGGGGCAAGCGUUGUCCGGAAUUAUUGGGCGUAAAGAGCGCGUAGGCGGUCCGAUAAGUCGGCUGUGAAAGUCAUGGGCUCAACCCAUGAAAGCCGGCCGAUACUGUCGGACUAGAGUCCGGAAGAGGCGAGUGGAAUUCCUGGUGUAGCGGUGAAAUGCGCAGAUAUCAGGAGGAACACCGAUGGCGAAGGCAGCUCGCUGGGACGGUACUGACGCUGAGGCGCGAAAGCGUGGGGAGCAAACAGG